rnacentral:rRNA from 1 species
AGGCAGCAGUGGGGGAAUAUUGCACAAUGGGGGAAACCCUGAUGCAGCGACGCCGCGUGAAGGAAGAAGUAUCUCGGUAUGUAAACUUCUAUCAGCAGGGAAGAUAGUGACGGUACCUGACUAAGAAGCCCCGGCUAACUACCGUGCC